GCGGGGGUUCCCGAGCCAGGACAAAGGGGCAGGACUUAAGAUCCUGUGCGAAGAGCUUCGUGGGUUCAAAUCCCACCCCCCGCA
rnacentral:tRNA from 1 species